ACUGGGCUUCCCCGCCCCGCACGCAGCCCUGGGGCCAGAGACCCUGAGAGGCAGGCCUGGGGACCUGGGACUUGGCCUGGACGCCUCACCUACUGCACAGAGCGCUCUUUGUCCCACUGUGUCCCUGAGCCGUGGACCAGGAGCUGUACCAGACAGGACAUCUGUCUUUCGUUGUUGGCAAGAUGAGACGUGUGGACCCAGAAAGCACUACAAAUACAGCUUGUACAGGUGAUUGCUCUGAAAAAGGAUCCAAUACAGAGAAAAGAAAGAGAUGGGGAAGUUUUAGCUGCAUUUCAACCCUGGUUCUAGUCACACUUGACAUUCAGUUGCAUUCUUGCAAGUUUUAGUUUGUUCUCUAAGACUCUGAACCCCCAUUUUGACAGCCUGAGUUCCUCUUUGCGUCUUUCAGCCGAAAUAUAGGUACCGAACACAUGAAGAUUGUGCUUCUCAGGCAAUAACGUGUGGUUUUCCUUUGUGCAAAUAGUACAGCCCACCUCCAGUAACAGCCCUGUUCAUCUAGAGCUGGUUUGCUUUACAACUUUGUGUCCAAUGAGGCUUCUUCACACUCAGAAACCUCAAGGGAUUUGGGCGGGUGUGUGAAAUCUUCGAGCAACACUGAAGAUUUCAUAUUCGACAGGAAGACAAAUUGUAAUGCGUUUUGGUGCCUGAGAAUUCGAGAAGAGAAGUAGUACGCAUUCACAGAUGAUUUUUGACAAUAGAACCCAGGGUUCAAAGGGAAGCCCUGGGGCAUUGCUAUUAUGUUUAGAAUUGAACAGUUUACUUUUCUGUAAUGUUCUGUCCAUGUGAAAUGACUAAAAAUUUCAGAAUUUCUAAAAAAGUGGAAGGGCGUUUUAUUCAAGCCAUAGUGAGGACAGCUGCCCAGGAUACACAAUCCUCACAAAGAAGAUAGUGCUUCGAAGGAAAGGAUAUUUGUGCAGAGUAUUUGUGUUUUUAUGAAAGAGUCAGACACCAUCACAAUGAAAGACAUUCCAGAAAAUGACAAACUUCAACUGUGCCUUCUGUACGUGGAAGUUUGCAGGCUUCGAAUAUAUAGGGGCAGAACUUAGGAAGAAUUUUACUCUUAUUUUAGUUUGAUAUGUGUCUUUUAGGUUCUUUACUGAUGAAGCAGAGGCACAAUGUGUGCUCAGGGCAGAAGUAGAGCCCAUGUUUUCUAGUUCGGGGAAGUCAUUCUGAUCCUGGCAAGGCCCAAAAACACUGAAAGCUGAAAAUGUCCUUAAUUGGUUCUAAAGUCAAUAAUUGUGCAAGUGUCCAAAGAUCUGUCCCAAGUUCCGCAACAGAGCACACGGUUUCCCUACCUCCUGAGGCCGGGCACCUCCUCCCUCCUCAGCACAGAAGGACAUUCUGCUCUGUGAGAUAUUGCAAACCACACGCAGAAAAUGCAGAUCCUUCUGGAAAGAGCAGAAGGCCCCUUGCUUGUGCUGCUCACAGAAGCAAACUGAAUCCACACCCCACAGCAUUCAUGUGGUUGAAGCUAGCAGAACAUUUAGAGCUUAUUUUUCAGAGGACUGUUUCUCCCCACUCAGCUAUGGUUUCUUUUCAGAUUCCUGUCCCUGCAGGAGCCUGGGAUCAAGGUCAGGUGCUGUGGCUCCAGCCUGUGAACAAGUGAGGUCCUGCAUUCUUUAUCAAGAUAAUGAGCCAGAGACCCCAUCCCCUUUAUACCGGCUCUCAGAGCGUGCCCAGUGCCUGACUCCUUGUCCCAAGACAACCUCGGGAGAUCAGGGGCUACAUUUAUCCUCCUGCUGAAGCUGGCUCCACCCCAACGUCAACACAGGCUGUAUGUGACACGUAUGGUUUUUUGAUGUGCACGCUCCAUCUUUCCUCGUCAAUAGUUACAUGUCCUGCCCUUUCCAUCAAUAUGUACAUAAUCUCAUCCCUAUGAUUAUAGAAAAAAACUUGUCCCUUCCCCUUCAGGGAGAAUAUUUAGCAGCCAAGGCUGCUUCUCAAAUAAACACUUUCCUUGCUGUA